rnacentral:rRNA from 1 species
UACAGAGGGUGCGAGCGUUAAUCGGAAUUACUGGGCGUAAAGGGCGCGUAGGCGGUUGAUUAAGUUAGGUGUGAAAUUCCUGGGCUUAACCUGGGGACUGCAUUUGAUACUGAUUGACUAGAGUAUGGUAGAGGGGAGUGGAAUUUCCGGUGUAGCGGUGAAAUGCGUAGAUAUCGGAAGGAACACCAGUGGCGAAGGCGACUCUCUGGGCCAAUACUGACGCUGAGGCGCGAAAGCGUGGGGAUCGAACAGG